GCGCAACAGGAUAGCUCAAUUGGUAGAGCAGGAGACUCAAUCUCAAGAUCGUGAGUUCAAGCCCCAUGUUGGGCG